rnacentral:rRNA from 1 species
UACAGAGGGGGCAAGCGUUGUUCGGAAUUACUGGGCGUAAAGGGCGCGUAGGCGGCCUUCUAAGUCGAACGUGAAAUCCCCGGGCUCAACCCGGGAACUGCGUCCGAGACUGGAAGGCUUGAAUCCGGGAGAGGGAUGUGGAAUUCCAGGUGUAGCGGUGAAAUGCGUAGAUAUCUGGAGGAACAUCGGUGGCGAAGGCGGCAUCCUGGACCGGUAUUGACGCUCAUGUGCGAAAGCGUGGGGAGCAAACAGG